rnacentral:rRNA from 1 species
AUGUUCUCCUCGCAGUCGCUGAGUCGCGUAAACAACAUCAGAACCUCUCUGGUGAACGCGCAGAAGGGCAACAAGACCGUCGCCACCUACUUCGCCGAGAUGCGCGGCUUCGCCGACGAGCUGGCCGCCGCCGGAAAACCUCUCCAGGAUGAUGAACUCAUCUCAUACAUCCUGCACGGCCUCGACAUGGACUACCAGCCACUCGUUUCUGCCCUCGACGCUCGCAUCACCCCGGUAUCCCUCGAUGAGCUCUUUUCAAUGCUUAGCAAUUUUGAUCAAAGGGUGGCGCAGUACCAGGGAUCGGGCGGCUUCAAGUCGUCGGCUAACGCCACGACGCGUGGGCGCGGUGGCUACGCUCGUCACCGUGGCCCCCCUCGCUCCAAGGGCAAGCAGGGAAGCGGCGGCAGCAACGGCGGGCCCAACUCCCGCGGACGGCCCAACUACACCAACACCAGGGGUCGUCGCGGUGGUUCCUCCAGAUCACGCCCGGACGCGGUGCGCUGCCAAAUCUGCGGCAAACCGGGCCACACGGCAAAAGAUUGCUGGUAUCGGUUCGAUGAAGAUGAGGCCUCCUCUGAAGAUGAAGAAAAGGUUGCCGCUGCUGCUGACGGCUCAUAUGGCGUCGAUACCAACUGGUAUCUGGACAGUGGCGCAACAAAUCAUCUCACCGGCGAACUGGAAAAGGUGACACUCAAGGAAAGGUAUCAUGGCAAGGACCAGAUACACACUGCAAGUGGUGCAGGUAUGAGGAUACGUCACAUUGGUCAUUCAAUUUUUCGUACCCCACGUCGAAAAUUUCAUCUUCGGAAAAUUUUGCAUGUCCCUAGCACUGACAAGAACCUUCUAUCCGUUCAUCGUAUCACACUUGAUAAUCAUGUUUACAUUGAAUUUCACCCUUUUUUCUUCUUGAUCAAGGAUCAGGUCACGAGGAGAACUCUCUAUCGAGGUAGAUGUGUUCGAGGUCUUUACCCGUUGAUUCCGGAGCUUCAACAACACAAUAAACAAGCUUGUGGUGCUAUCAAGCUUUCGGCCACACGAUGGCACGACCGUUUAGGGCAUGCUUCAUUUUCCUUAGUUGAUCGUUUACUCAAAAAGAAUAAACUCCCGUUUGUUGGGGACCGAAAUAUUGAAACCAUUUGUGAUUCUUGUCAGAGAGCAAAAAGUCAUCAACUUCCAUACCCUGUUUCUACUAGUGUCUCUACUCAACCAUUGCAAUUAAUUUUUUCUGAUGUAUGGGGCCCUGCCCCAAGUUCUGUUGGUAGACACACAUACUAUGUCAGUUUCAUUGAUGACUAUAGCAAGUUCUCUUGGCUCUACCUUCUUAAAAAAAGGUCUGAAGUUUUUCAAGUCUUUAAAAACUUCCAAGCUCUUGUUGAACGGCAAUUUGAUAGGAAAAUUCUUGCUGUCCAAUCUGACUGGGGUGGAAAGUACGAAAAACUCAACUCCUUUUUCCAAACACUCGGAAUUUCUCAUCAUGUGUCAUGCCCCCACGCUCAUCAACAGAAUGGGUCUGCAGAACGCAAGCAUAGGCACAUUGUUGAAGUUGGCCUUGCUCUCCUGGCCGGAGCUUCUAUGCCCUUAAAAUUUUGGGAUGAAGCAUUCCUCACGGCUGUACACAUCAUAAACAUGCUCCCCAGUAGGGUUAUCAACAACGAAACUCCUAUAGAACGACUCCUUCGUGUAAAACCAGACUAUAAAUCACUUCGUGUGUUUGGAUGCGCAUGUUGGCCAAAUCUCCGCCCCUACAACAACCGCAAACUUAUGUUUCGCACCAAACAGUGUGCGUUCCUUGGGUACAGUGCUCAGCACAAAGGUGUCAAAUGCUUAGACAUCUCGUCUGGUCGAGUCUACAUCUCUAGAGAUGUUGUUUUUGAUGAGACAAAAUUCCCCUUUGCUGAUCUUCACCCCAACGCCGGCGCCUUACUCCGUCAAGAAAUAUUACUCCUUCCACCUCAUCUCUCCGGCUAUCAUCAAGGGGGCCACGAAAACUGUGAUGAUCAUUUGCUGACUAAUCCUCCUAACCAUUUGCAUGAGGCUUGUGAUGUUCCAGGAGAUCAUAACGGCGAAAAUGGUGAAGAAAAUGAAGAAAACAGUGCAAUGCACUGUCCAUAUCGCGUGUGUCACGGCAGAGGGAGCAGAUCCGCCUCGGGAUCCGGCGCGCCUGGUGCAGCAGCCACAACCGCGAGCCACAGAAGAUCAUCCAGGAGCAGAACCAGCCGAAACUGCUGGUGUAGGCGGAUCCGCCUCGGAUCUGGCGCAGGAGGAUUCAUCUGCCGGAUCUUCUGUGGCGCAAAACAACACUGGUGCACCACAACGUCGCACACGGCUGCAAUCAGGGGUAACUAA